UGGGGAAUAUUGGACAAUGGGCGAAAGCCUGAUCCAGCCAUGCCGCGUGUGUGAAGAAGGUCUUCGGAUUGUAAAGCACUUUAAGUUGGGAGGAAGGGCAGUAAGCGAAUACCUUGCUGUUUUGACGUCACCGACAGAAUAAGCACCGGCUAACUCUGUGCCAGCAGCCGCGGUAAUACAGAUGGUGCAAGCGUUAAUCGGAAUUACUGGGCGUAAAGCGCGCGUAGGUGGUUCGUUAAGUUGAAUGUGAAAGCCCCGGGCUCAACCUGGGAACUGCAUCCAAAACUGGCGAGCUAGAGUAGGGCAGAGGGUGGUGGAAUUUCCUGUGUAGCGGUGAAAUGCGUAGAUAUAGGAAGGAACACCAGUGGCGAAGGCGACCACCUGGGCUCAUACUGACACUGAGGUGCGAAAGCGUGGGGAGCAAACAGG
rnacentral:rRNA from 1 species